GUUAAUUACGCUUUCUGAUUUGGCGUAACCACUCGACGGAGUGCAGAUUGCCAGGCGGAACAGUCCGCAGAUAGGUUCCCAGGCCACCCAAUGUUAUCCAGACAGUAUAUAUGUGUUCUUGAUCAAUUUCAAAUUUGAAGGCGACAGCCCUUUUUGUCACCUAAAGUAAAAUAAACCUGUUUUAUUAACGAAUAUUGGCAUAUAAAAUGGAAGGCAUUGGUAGUACUACAAUUUCGGGCUUUCUUUGCCGGCUCUGCAAGAAAGUUAACCGCCACGUUAUCCCCCUGCCCGGCGACCGUGGACAAAGCAUGCAGCUGGUGGAAAAGCUGGAAACACUUUUUCUGAUUAACCUAUCGGCAGAGGAUAACCACCCGAAGACCAUCUGCCAAGACUGCAUUAAAAUGAUACAACAGACUGUGAAGCAUCGGUUAAAGGUAAAAAAAAUGAUAUCAGAGAUGCAUCCCAAACACAAAGUGACAGGGGAUGGGUCAUCGAGUCCAGGGACCGAUGACUCUUCGUCUGAUUUAAGUGACCUAGAUGAUUUAUCCGAAUGCUCUCUACUGGAUUUGUCAGUGACCCCAGUUCCCUCCGAUUUAGAAGACGACGCAGAUGAAUGGCUCCAAGGGGUAUGAAGGAUUUCCAAUCUUCAUCAUUAAAAAACAUUUAAUUUAUUAAUUUAUUCUUCAAUGAAUAUUUUGCAGUACGCCCAAAAAAAAAAGUUUUAACUAUCUUUGUAAAAGGUUUUAUCAAAAGCUAUUUAAAGCUUAAACUGACACUUAUAAUACAGAAUUGAUCAUUAUGGAUCACCCAAAGCUGAUAUCCAAAAUUUGCAGUUUAUAUAAGAGAUAAUAAUCGAUUCCAAUCAUAUUUAUUUAAACACGCCAAUACUGAAGUUUUACUAUUUUUGAGAUCCGUCAAUUUUAUUACAUUUAUAAACUAUCUUCCAAAGCAAAAUAAAUUCAACACCGUGAUUAUUUUAAUCGAAACCAAUAAGGGCUUACCAAAUGGACUGUUCUGGAUCUCCCAAUGCUGAUAUUUACAAUUUGCAACUUAUAUGAGAUAUAAUUUAUUUGAAAAAAUACCCGAAGACCCUUUAAUUGAUAUUACAUGAAUGAAAUAUUAUAGAUCUUCCAGAAAAUACUAAUUAGGCAGGCCUCGUGUCAGCAGGCCGAAUGCAAAUUAAAUUAGAAAACUUUAAUUGUUAUUAAUAAAAGUUCAACACCUUGUGGUAAUAUUGAAAAAUAAUACACCCAAUAAGACCUUUAAGUCUUAUAGAUAUUUCAAAAGCUGCAUAAUUUCGAAUAUAAUAAACACAAAACGAACACCUUGUGAUAAUAUUGUAAAAUAA